CUCUCCUUUCUGUCACCAAAACAGCUUUAGGUCGUCUGAAGUCUAGAGUUCUUUAAUCCUUCUCUUAUCUUGAAAUUGGGUUUUGCUUUAGAGCACAAACAUAAGUCUGUGUUAGGUGGACUCAAUCCCAACAGGGUCCUUUGAUAAUUACAGCCAUAGAAGCAGGUUACUGCUUUCACCCAUGUCCGUCCUCAGGUGAGCCUCCUACAUCAGCAGCCUUUUUUUUUUUUUCUGUUAAACUGGCUCCUGUCAAAGAUUAAAUUAAUGUGGAAAAGAUCUAUUCUGUGUAUUGAUGGGGGAUGAGAAGCCCAGGUAGAGAGGCUCAUGGAGAGGCUGAGGGAAUGUUACUGUUUCCCUCCAUUUGUCUCCAGUCCGGUGCCAGGUAAUAGAGUGGACAAGGAGGCUAUUUUUUUAUUCUAUGUGCACACAUACAGUAUACAUAUAUAUUUAUAUCACAUUUUACUGAACCAAAAAGUUGGGUUUCCAAUGAAAUACUUGUUUUUUAAUAAUCAACUUGUUUUUAAAUGUGAUCUGAAUUAUAAUGUACAGUUAUUACAGGGCUUUUGAAGGGUGGGGAGGGAGAAGCUUCUCUGAGGGGUUUGUUCUGCUUUUCCUUCAGGGUUUUAUUUUUGAUUGUUUUUUCUUGUUGGCCAUCUGUGCUAAGCCUUAACAGUGGCAAAAAUAAUGACAUGUAGCAAAGAUUUUAAAACAAAGUAUUUUUCUUUUAUAAAGUGU
rnacentral:lncRNA from 1 species